rnacentral:rRNA from 1 species
CUUGGCAGCUAUGUGCUUAUACUUGGUAUGGUCAUUUGUCAUGACUUUCUAUUUGGUGUAGAUACAAUGAGCAGAAAGUUGCAAUCACCAUCAAUUUGCAUUGAGUCCGCCUUAAUACAAAUAGAGGGUAGGAAGAAUUACUUUGACACUUACAGAAAUGAAGGGUUUUCCUCUAGUGUGACCAUUGCCAAAGAAAUCACAGCUAAGAUGAGUUCAGAGCCAUCUUUUCGAGUAAAGUGUUGUGCUCCUAGGAAGAAGCAGUCUGAUGAAAUUGACCGUGAUGAAGCAAUCUUGGAAGGUGGGAACGAUUUUGAAGCUAAUUGCUUUUUAUUAUGGUUCAUAAGGCAACUAAUAAUUCAUUAA